rnacentral:rRNA from 1 species
GAUAAGAAGGAGGAAGGUGGGGACGACGUCAAAUCCUCAUGGCCCUUAUGUCCAGGGCUACACACGUGCUACAAUGGCCGGUACAACGGGAAGCAAGGCCGUAAGGCGGAGCCAAACCCUAAAAGCCGGCCCCAGUUCAGAUUGUGGGCUGCAACUCGCCCACAUGAAGGCGGAAUCGCUAGUAAUCGCUGAUCAGCAGGCAGCGGUGAAUACGUUCCCGGGCCUUGUACACACCGCCCGUCACACCACGAAAGCCCGCUGCAACAGAAAUCGUCGAUCCAACCCGCAAGGGAGGUAGGCGCUGAAGUUGUGGUUGGUGAUUGGGGUGAAGU